CUUGGUCAUUUAGAGGAAGUAAAAGUCGUAACAAGGUUUCCGUAGGUGGUUCGCCUGCGAAACAAGUCUGCUUAUGCAGGCUACAUCUCUACUUUGCUAGAAACUACAGUUGUAUUACUAGCAGCCUGCUUAGCAGGUUCACAGAUCAAAUAGAGAUGGCCCUUUUCAGGGUUAAGACAUGAUCGAGUCGGUGCUGAGAUAGCAUUGAGAAAUUGGAACCUGCGGAAGGAUCAUUAAAGAGUUAUUAUGGGUUAACACCCUAAUACUCCACCCUUUGUUUACAUUACCUUUGUUGCUUUGGCAGGCCCGUCUUCGGACCACCGGCUUCGGCUGGUCAGCGCCUGCCAGAGAACCUAAAACUCAUGUUUAAUCAUAUUGUCUGAGUACUAUAUAAUAGUUAAAACUUUCAACAACGGAUCUCUUGGUUCUGGCAUCGAUGAAGAACGCAGCGAAAUGCGAUAAGUAAUGUGAAUUGCAGAAUUCAGUGAAUCAUCGAAUCUUUGAACGCACAUUGCGCCCUCUGGUAUUCCNGGGGGCAUGCCUGUUCGAGCGUCAUUACNACCCUCAAGCUCAGCUUGGUAUUAGGCUCCACCUGCAAAGGCGGGCUGUAAAUCAGUGGGCGGGGCCAUUCGGCUUCNAGCGUAGUAAUUUUUCUCGCUUKGGAUGACCGGUUGAGUGCUUGCCAGCACCCCCAUUUUUAUCAAGGUKGACUCGGAUCAGGUAGGAAUACCCGCUGAACUUAAGCAUAUCAAUAAGCGGAGGAAAAGAANCCANCAGGGAUGNCUUCAGUAACGGCGAGUGAAGCGGCAACAGCUCAAAUUUGAAAUCUGGCUUUCGGNUCCGAGUUGUAAUUNGUAGAGGAUGUUUCGAACAUGGUCCGGUCUAAGUUUCUUGGAACAGAACGCUAUAAAGGGUGAGAGUUCCCGUAUGCGACUGGGUGCCUACGUUCAUGUGAAACUCCUUCGACGAGUCGAGUUGUUUGGGAAUGCAGCUCAAAAUGGGUGGUAAAUUUCAUCUAAAGCUAAAUAUUGGCCAGAGACCGAUAGCGCACAAGUAGAGUGAUCGAAAGAUGAAAAGCACUUUGGAAAGAGAGUUAAACAGUACGUGAAAUUGUUGAAAGGGAAGCGCUUGCAACCAGACUUGCAUGCAGUUGAUCAUCCGGCGUUUUCACCGGUGCACUCGAUUGUAUUCAGGCCAGCAUCGGUUUUGGUGGUUAGAUAAAGGCCUUGGGAAUGUAGCUUCUUUCGGGGAGUGUUAUAGCCCUCGGUGCAAUGUAGCCUACCGGGACCGAGGACCGCGCUUCGGCUAGGAUGCUGGCGUAAUGGUUGUAAGCGACCCGUCUUGAAACACGGACC
rnacentral:rRNA from 1 species